CGCUCUUUGGAAAGUCCAUGUAUCAUUAAUGGUAACUCUGAAAACUUCACAUUGGAGUUCCCUUUAACUACACACAUGUUUAAAAUUUGAAUAGAAGGGGCUAUCAUCUGCAAUAAUGUGUUUAGAGAUUUGAUCAAAACCCAAGUAUUUUGAAACCUAAUGCAACUCAUACCUAGAUUUGCUGAUUUAUUUUUAGCUUGAAAAAGUCCAGUUAUUUAAUCUCUUAAUCAAACUGCUUGAAGUUUCCAUUUCUAAAUAAAUGAAAUGAUAAUAAAUAAUGAGCCAAAAAAUAAAAUGUACCCAUUUAAGGGGAACAGUGGAAAUUUGAUGGAAAACAAAUGUAAGUUGGAGUAAUAUGGAAAUAUCACUUGUCUCCUUUGAUUUUUCAGCUCCAAGUAAAUGAACCACUGAAGUAGGAGCCAAAAAAAGUGCCCUUGGUCAAGUUCUUCAACUUUGAGUUCUUCAUCCAUGAACUGGAGAAGAGUACUAUGGUUUAACAACUGACUUCUGGAGGGAGAAGACUUCCAACCGCUGAUUAGAUGAACCAUCAGGCAUUAGCAGGUAUCAUGCAAGAUGACUCUGGGUCUUCUCAUGAUGCACCUGGGCCACUUCUUUCUGCUCAAGACCUGGAACUGACUCAAGUGGCAGCAGGACUCAACGGGAGAGAUGCAAAGUAUGACCAAUGAGAAGUUAUGCUAUGCUUGCAAAGGA